rnacentral:rRNA from 1 species
UACGAGGGGGGCGAGCGUUGUUCGGAAUUACUGGGCGUAAAGCGUGCGUAGGCGGUUUGUUAAGUCCGUUGUGAAAGCCCUGGGCUCAACCUGGGAAUUGCAGUGGAUACUGGCGAGCUAGAGUGCGGUAGAGGAUGGUGGAAUUCCCGGUGUAGCGGUGAAAUGCGUAGAGAUCGGGAGGAACACCCGUGGCGAAGGCGGCCAUCUGGACCAGCACUGACGCUGAGGCACGAAAGCGUGGGGAGCAAACAGG